AAAUGAAAACGCCAAACUAAGAUUACUUUCUCAUUAAAAACAAAAACGUUUUGGCAAUUAAAGAUAAUUAUCGAAUCAGUGGUGGUAAAUUGUUUCCGAGCGAAACCAGAUAAAUUCAAAUAAAUUGCCAAAAUAAUUUGUAAACUGUAACCGAGCAUUCCACCUGCUGCCAACCUGGAUUGUACCCACUUCUGCCAACCAAUUCCCGUUGGAAACCCCCAUAUUACAAACAUUUCUGACUUUUGAUUGUGAUAGCAAAGACAUGUUCGACGAUUGUCUUUGGUAAGACCGCAGACAAUGGGACAAUAUCAGCAAGAGCAAAGACACAUAUACAUAUACAUAUAAUAUAAGUAGGAAAAAACCAAAGACGGCCGAUAGCCAACAACAAGUUCUGGCUGGAACUUGUUGACGACUUCACUUUUGCUCGGCUGGCCAAAAAGUGUGUUUUGCCUUACUUAUGCGUGUGUGUGUGUGUGUGUGUGUAUCUGUGGGCCAGGUUAAUAAAAGACACCUUUCAAGACUGGUUUAGUUUGCCCAGCUCAGUUCGCUGCUUCUGUUGCACUUAUAGUCCAACCGCCCCCCUCCCGCCAUUAGCCACCACACCCCUCCAACUGUAGCGACUCUACUCUAAUGCAAUCAAAUCGGCCUUUGUGUGUGUGUUAGCCAUAUUGGGUGUUGGCCAGCAGCUGUUGCUAGUUGUUGCUAUUUGCUGUUCGCUGUUUGUUGUUUGUGUUCUUUAGUCGCUUUGGAAAAAAUGUCGUUUGAUUAUGGCUGGCCGAGAGAAUGCAAAGUGAAUUGUUGAAAUAUUGAAUUAAGACCAAAGUCUGUGUCGCAUAAUCGCACGCUCACUGCCAAUUUAUUUAUCUAUCCAUCAACUCCGUCCGCUUGGUUCACCCACUUUCAGGGCCACUUUUUACCUUAUCUGUUGGCCAGCUAUUUAGCCAGCAUUUCAGUCGCUUAUUGCAUUCGCUUUUAUGCAAGAAUUUCAAAUUGCAGCCGCAACAGUACGGCCAAACAAAAAGUGAAAGUCACCCAGCCAGCAGUGAGCCACAAAGCUCGAAUAUUACGUAUACGCAGCGUUGAUCAGCGUUGAAAGCGCAACAGGCUGCGCGGCAGAAGAUUGGCCAGAACGAAGACGCCACCGCAUCAAAUCGAAUUGAAUCGCAUUGAAGUGGCAUCCUGGAUGCGAGGCACGUUCUCGCCGCCGGCGGAUUGCAGAUUAACGAUCUCCUCAUCCCAACACACGCCCACGCAGAAACGACCUUAAUUGUGUCCGUGUCGGAGUUUCUGAAAGUGUGUGCUUGUUUUUCUUUUUUUUCUUUCUUUUUCCGUUUCUUAUUGCAGCACGUCAAGAAACGACUCCAAGGGCAGUCGCAGUAAUAGCAGCGGCAGCAGCAGCAAUGCAACGCAUGCACUCCACAUAAAUUGCAUACAGUCAAGUCACGUGGGAAGGACCAAGCGAAUAAAACAACAAGCUUAGAAGAAUCCCAAAGAGAGUCGUUCCUGCUGAAUGAAUGAAUGUUCCUAACAAUAAAGAAUAUCACAGAAUAGAAUUUAAUCUGCGCCCUGCUGCUGGUUGCUGCGCAUAGAGUGCCCACUGUGGCAACGCUCACUUUGCAGACACGGACACAUUAGAAUGGCCUGAGGCUGGAACUGGUUGCAGCAGCUGUGUCCUAACACUCUUCAGUCGUCGGGUAGCCGAGCUAACGCGUCCCCAAGUCACCAAGUCACCAAGUCACCCAGUCGCGGGUAACCAACAACGCCUCCAUGGAGGCAACAGCCUCCGCUAACGAGCUCGUGCAGCUCCGCGGCUCUGCGGCUCCGUCUCUGAUUUAAACUCCAAUCGCAAAUGCAACUGCAACUGCAACUGCAACUGCGGCACAACAACGCACAAGAAUUGCCAUGAACCAAUUUGAUAAUACAAAGCACCCCUCCCCCCCACCGCUGCGCUCACUCACACACACGCACAGCAAUUAUUAUUAUUCGGUUUGCCAUUUUUUUCAGACGUUUUCGUUUGAAAAUUGAAAGUUGUCUGGUCGUCGCCGGGAGCGAGUGAAGCGUGAAACGGCGACACAUUGCUAGCACCUAAGCUCCAAGGAUAAUAUCCUGUCGCCCGGAUGUCGCCGCCGGUGAGCCGAGGACGAGGACACCAUAAGGGCAGGAUCAACGGAAUGGUCAGGGAUUGGAUGGCUAAAUCUCUCCCGCUUUCGUUGGCUUACUUCCCUCGGAAAAUUAUAAUUGUGUUCCAAAAGUAAAGUACACUCGAAAUAUUCGUAUGAAAUCGAAUAUGAUUGCAAGUAAGAAAAUAUCCUGCGGCUUUACUAAUAGUUUGACAUUCUACCUAUGAUAUUAUUUAAACAAAAUUGCUUAUUAAUGGUGUAACAGAGUGCGUGGCACUAUCUUAAUAACUGGUUUACUCAUAUAGUUAUCUCAGAAACUCGAUUUAUACGGACGGACAUGCGGACAUACGGACAAACGGACACCUUUAAAUCGAAUAGGCUAGUGUUGCUAUAGUUUGUAUAAAGUCCUGUACAACGAAUAAUAUCUUGCGAUUCCAAUCCUUUCAAUAUACCUACUCAAUGUUAUUUCCCAGUGUUUCCAUGUGGGUGUCGAGUGCGAAAUACUCGUAAAUUGGUGCUAAGCACUUACACGUUUUAUCACAACGACCCACACGAACCCACGACAGCAGGCCAAAGGGCUCCGGACCGCAGAUUAACCCGUGCUACAUCCGAUGCUGGAUCCGGAGUAGCUACCAUCUCGCUCGUACACUUCCGCCGUACGCACGAUGCUCCGUGCUCCGUACUCAUUUUGUCGAUUUCGAUUGCGAUUUCUGAGUGCGAAGGUAUUAUUCUCGACUGAGUGAGUUGCCUUAUUUGCAAUUUAGUUAGCUAAAAAUAGAAUUCCCAUUGACGCUGGCGUGGGCGGCAUAUCGAAAAAAAGCGGCAAACACAAAUAAAGAAAAUAAAAAGAGAAAGAAAAGGAAAUGGAGAAAAUUGUAGGGAAUUAUUUUCCCGAAAGAAAUUACUGAAUAUUAAAUACUCUCAUUACAGAAAAAAAAAAAUAAAAAAUUUAUAUAUAAAUAUAUAGAAGGAAGGAUAUAAAUAUAUAGAAGGAAGGAUAUAAAUAUAUAGAAGGAUAGUUCUAAAAGUAGGGUUUCAAUUCAAAAGUCUGAGAAUGGAAAUUACGUCAAUUUUUUUUUUUUUUAUAAAAACUUUUUACUAAAACUGAAGCUGAUUGUAAUCCCUUCACAAGUCGAAAUUUUCACGCGCAUCUAGGGGAUAAGCCCUUCUUUUUGAAACGCCAACGCAGCAAGGCAGAUGCCAAAGGCAGCGAAGAAAGGCACCCAAGGAUGUCGAGCGAGAACAAGGACCGCAAAUUCGCACAUCCUUGCAGCAACCUGCCACAGAUCCCUAAACGACGUCAGCGUUAAAUUGAGUAAGUAAUGAAAAAUCGAUAAGCCGGUUCGCAACUGGCUUCCAUACGGAGCACUAUGGGAGUCGAGCGGCUGGGCGGCUGGGGGAUUUGGAGGUUGAGUUGACCAGGGACGGAGGCGGAGCUACUCCCCCAGUCAACAGGAGGUUGGCAGCCGACAGGCGCCCGUUGUCCCUUGUGGUUUGUCGGCCACUCAAAUAAACGUUUGUGUACUUUUUUUCAUUUUCAUAAAAUUAACGACGAUACCUAUAAUAUUUCUUAACUCACAGUUACUUCCAACUAAUUAUUUUGACAUUUAAAUAUUGUGAGAAUAGACAACGUUUACAAACUUAACUUCGAAGCUGUUUUAGCAGGUAAACAAUUUUAUAGUUCAUUCCUUUCCAAUAAAUAAAUAUGAAGUAUGUAAAGUAUCAAUUUGUUUAUAAGUUACUAAAUUAGUCUACUACUUUUGCCACUUAUUUUUCCCAGUGUCUUCCAAACGGAGCUCCCAUUCAGACGGACUUUGCAAGGCUGCUGGCGCCUGCUGCCAGCAUGAAAAAGAGCCAUGAAACGGGGCCCGAAGGGAAAAAGGACCUAGGAGGGGGGUGGUGAGGGGUGAGGGGUGUAGGGCGGAAGACGGGUGGGCGUGGCCUUUUGCCGUUCAUGGCGCCGGAGUACCGUGAUGGGCGUGGGCGUGCGCAUGACCAGCAAUAUAACAUUCAAUUAAGUGCAAUUUAAGCUUAACUAGUGCAUUACGUAAGUCCUCCAACAGGAACAGGACAGGAUUGGCAAUGGAAUUGGCCGACUGGGCGACACAUAUAAUUAUCGUUAAGGCUAUUUUUUGCCAUUCUUGCCUUAAGGACUGCUGGUGAAAUCAUAAAUGCUUAUGUUCCCCUAUGCAGCGGUUGUAAAUUGAAUUUUAGGCACAGCACAUAACCCCAGAAGGUUACUAACUUAUUAUAGUUACUAACUAUUAUACUAUAGUCAACUGAGUUUAAAGGUAAAUCAUUCCUUCGCGGAAACUUACAUGGACUCACACAGAUCAGUCCGUAUCAAAUUAGUUUUGAUUAUGUCCAGAUGAAGUUUUAUGAUGAAUGGCCAAUAUCUAACCCAAUUGGAUAUGAAUAAGCCCUUAUUUCUAAAAGUUCUUAAAAGCAACCUUAUCUUUAUAGGCUUUAUAUUUAUAUAGAUCAUUUACAAGACAAUGGGGAAUUAAGUGCCUGGAUACUUUACUCAGGGGAACUACUAAGCAACUGAGGUCUACGAUCUUGCCCAAGGGAACCGAGCUAUCCGCAAUCGAUCAUGCUAGUGAAAAACUCCGUGCCCUGGAAAAUAAACUCCAUAAGCUGCUUUAUCUUAUGCCCACAUCCGCUCGGAUACCAAUCCACCCACUUCACCGUACGACCACCCACUUUUCUCGUACUCCCUGCGUGGAGUGGGUGGUGAAUGUUAUCUGAUGGUUUCAGUCACCACACAAUACUCGUUCGCGAAUAAUGACAAAUCACGCCCGCUUUGCCGCUCUUUUGCGUAAGUUACACGGGCUUGCAGGCCAGGACCAUGCCCACACGUUUACGCCCGCCCACGCGUUUGGGAAUUACGCAUGCUGACGUCACCGUGAAUGGCCAAAAAGGAGCGGCGAGGGGCGUUGGGGGGUGGUGGGAACGAAACAGUAGAACCUUCUAGCAGACGCCAGAAACUGCGUCAUUCAUUCAUGGAUACCCACAAUCUUUGUCGUAGGUUGGGCACGCCAGAAAGAGACAGCGACGUCGAUAGAAAGAGAGAGGAGAGAGGGUUGUGUGGGAGGCAUAGGUGUACCGGGUUUCGUGCAUUUCAUUCAUAAAAUUCCAUCGAGUAGGAGCGAAAGAGCAAGUCCUUCGAUGACCUUCGUCACUGCGCAGGCCUUGAGCGGAAUUCGCAACUUUGAGUGAAAGCUUCGAUGCGAACAAGUUGGAAAAAAGAACCAAGUGACCUUUCCACACUAUAUGUACAUAUAGCCCACUAGAACAACACAAAAGAAGAAAAAAAAUCAAGCCGGCUUAGCAUAUGGCCAGAAUCGGUAUUACAUUCGGCCAAACCCUCAAAACAUAUUGCCAUAAACUGACGGAUUUAUGGCUUAAACCGAGGGGUUUUGGCGGGUGGCGGCUGUGUGCAAAUCUCACUCGCGCAUUCGAUUUGAAUUCAAGGUUGAUUCGAAAUGUCAAAAUUGCAGAUGCGACGUCUUCGAAUCAAGUUUGCACUUGGCUGCGAAUCGAAACGAGUUAUCCAAUCCAAUCGCAAAGAGCAUUGGAGCAAAAUAAUACUAAUGAUCGGCAUUAUGACGACGACGACGACGAUGAUGGCGGGGGGAGCAGGUGGGGCAGUGGGUGGCGAGUGGGCGCUAAGGCAGGCGAAACCUUUUGGAUUCCACAGCAAACCCGUAUUAUAAUUUAUUGUGUAAUGAAUGCAGCAAAUGCUGGAGCUCGAUAAGAUGUUCAAGUCGAUGGGGGAAUACCCAGCAAUGCAGAGGAUCAGUUAAGAUUCUCCAUUCAUUAAUUAUUUUUAAUCAAAGAAGCACCAAUAUUUAAUGAGAAAUUUAAGAAGAGUUAGUUUCUCUAUUCUGCCAUUUGUCAGACUUUUUUAAUGAUGUACAUUUUACUAACGGAAAAGAAUUUUACACACUUCCUAUAAAUUACUCUUGGUAGAGCGUUUCGUCACGUACUAAACCAACGCUAGGCCUAGAAAUAUUAAGCUUGCCAUAAGAAAUGACAAAUUACAAAUCAAACAUCUUCGAAUCCUGAAGAGCAGUGCAGCCAUAGUCGAUCGACCCUCUCGCUCGCGUAGGGCAAGAGCAACGGCGAAUGAAACGAGACAAGUGAGUGCUAGCGUCUCCCGCCCCCUCUGCACCGCCCCACCCCCCCGCUCUUUAAUGCAGUUGGCAUGCAAAACAGAUAAGCAAAUACAAUGUACCGUUGCUUUUUUGAGCGGCUGGGAAUUCAGCAGACAAAAUAAUUGAAAGGCAAGUUGAAAGCUUUGGGGCGAGGCCCUGUUUUUUUUUUUUGGGUUAUUGGGAUUUCUUUCGAUUCAAUUCGAUUCGAUCCGAAACGAAACGAUACGAUUCGAUCGAACGAACGAACGAGAAGCGGUGGAAAACUCCAGUUACUUGCAUCUUACUUGAUCGCGAGUCGCAAAAAUGCAGUUCAACUCAAGAGUUUGGUUUCUGCGUCUUCGCUUUUCGUUUUUCGUUUUUUCGAGUGGUUCUGUACGAAAAUUCAUAUACAUGCUUAUACAUGCUUAUAGGCAAAAGUGAAUGUCCACCGAAAAGUCCUUGAAACCUGAAACCGAUCUUUCCAGUUUGGCGCACAGAGACACAGUGAACUGUUGCUAUAGCUGGUGCUUUGUGGCGGUAGCUGCAGGUUCUACACUGACAGAAAAUGCAAUGAACUUAUUAAGUAUAAAUAGAAUGGUAUUUAAAAUGAAGCGUACUUUGAAUUUCUCAAUUUGCAUGAAAUAUUACUAUACUACGCGCAUAAUUUCGCUCAGUGCACAACUAGCUGUAUUGCUACUGCCUGCCGUCACGUCAGUUUUUCAGCUUGAAGCUGCAGACAAGCUCCACUUGGCUCAAAAACUUGGACUGGGUGUCGGUUCUGGGUCUUUGGGCUUGGGUUUGGGUUUGGGUUUGGGUAAUCCUUCAUUCACCUGAUCAGAUCUGGAGGGUGGGCACUGGACGGCCACGAAGUAUUUGGGUUGCCAGUAGGUGUGGUUCUGUUUUGAUAUAAAUCAAAAUACAAUAACCAUUUGAUACGUCGAAUGCAAACGCUGAUAUACUAUUAACCGAUCAGCGAGUGACAGGCAGUCAAAGCGGAUGUACACACUCAGCAACAACGAAUUGUACGGCAAAUCAGCGAGUAAUAAGGUUUUCGUAGAUUGGUAAUGUCCUAGGUAAAACUUAGUGUAGAGUCAUGACUACAAGAACUGGAAUUCGCAGCAGCUAACCCUUUUCCUUCCUCUUUCUCUUGGCCACGCAAUGAGCCAUAAUGCGAUUACAUAACCAUUUUGAUCCGAGCGAAACAAUUAAGCGGACACAGCUCAGCAUCCAGCGAUCGAGUUUGUUGAAGAUAAAUCAAAAGGCCCCAAUGCUUCGCUUUUGACCAAAACCAAGAGCUUAAGCCUGAAAAUGAAAAUGAAGCUGAAGCUGAAGCUGAAACUGAAACCGAACCGAGUUAAGCCAACUGAAGUAUAGUGAACUGAACUCGGCUGAGUCGAAUAAAGCUGGGGCGCAGCCGUAGCCACCUGCAUUGAAUUGACAUUGAAGGCAGUUGUUAUUGUUGUUAAUGUUGUUGUUGUUAACUAUAGUGCUAUAGGUUGUUUUGCUAACUUGGCGGCAAGAGACCAAGAGACCAGGCCAAACCUACCAAUGUUUGUUGCUGUUGCUGUUGCUGUAAAUGCGUUCAUUCCACGCUGCCUUUCAUUUCUUGCAAUUGGCGUUUUAAUUUGCCUGUUUAACCACAUCAGCAGAAAGCAACAACAACAACAGCAGCAGCAGCCCAAUGAAUAUGCAUGCAAACAAAAUCAGCUUAUACAAUGCGAUUUAUAUUCAUAAGUAUUUAUAUACAUAUACAUUUAAAAGUGAGUGUGCCAGCAGCAGUCCAUAACCGACAGGCCGCAAUCAAAUUGAACCGAUUAUAGUUUUGAAAUGAGUUUAAGCCCCAUAAGUGGUGUGCGAUUGAUUAGAACUUAAAACGCCCAGUGGAAACCGUUUAAUUAUUACACGAACUAAGCUCGCAAAUGGCGUUGCCAAUUUGCCGCCUGAUUUGUGGGAGUAGUGGGGAAAAUAUUAGCCAUUUGGGUGCCUAAUUUAUAAUAUAUUUAUUAUUUAUUCAUAUUUUUGACAGUCCUGUACUUGGGGAUUCAGUACUAAUAUGGUUGAUUAAUGUUACUUUUUAUCAUCGAAGCUUAAAGUGUUUAAAGUGUUUCUUAAGUCUAGCGAGUACCAUGUAAAGUAUAUAAUUACAAGUGUUAAACAACAAACUUUGCUUAUAUUUUCACAUUUCGUAAAUAACAACACUAUUGUGAAUGUGAAGGAGAGCCUUUAAAUUCCAACCUCAAGCCAAUUUAAAAUAUGUAAUUAAGUGGAGCAUUAAUUACUCUAGCUACACUCAAAACAAAGUAAUUGCUAUAAGGUCUCUUGUCUGCCGAUGUUUUUGAGCACAUACCGCUCUCGAGUGUUGAAACACUUCAAAAUAACUCGACAGAAAAAAACUCGAUACAAAGUGUUUGUGGCUCUUCUUGAAUUUUCGUUUUCGUUUUUUCCUAUUUUUUUGCGCAUUAGCAGCGGCGAAACGGAGUUGGCAAAUGGCCGUAAGCCAAAAUAUGAAAAAAUAAAUAACAAUAGCUGCGCAAAAAUAGAUACAUAUAUAUAUAUAUAUUCAGCUUUGGACAUUCCAGCACCUGUUAACUACGGUUUGCGUGAAGUCGCAUUGAAAAUUCCAAGAAAUCAUCGGCCACAAAUGCAGAAACGGUUUCUUGCACUAGUCUCUAAAUAAAUAUGUACAAACCGACCACAAGAUAUGCGAUAUUAAUGAACGACCUUGCCAAAGGCAAUCUUCAUCUUCUUCAAGCGGAGUCGAAAGCAAAAAAAAAAAGAAAAAUGACUCUUCGACUUUGGCAAUAAAAGAAUUAGCGGCUCUAAUGCCCGAGCCGUAACUGAAAAAUUGGCAACGAAAUGGGUAAAAAACACUGCGUAUUUUUGGCCAUUUGCCUCCACUGCUUCUUUAAUAACAAAAGCGGAACCGUAAACGAUUUGGAGCAAAGUGGAUUUGGGCGCACAAAUAGACUUCUUUGUGAAAGAAUAACGUCCGUUUCAACAUAUCCGCAUUCUAAGAUACGCUCCACAUCGCAAAAACUUCACAAUUCGAUAAUUAAGGUGGGGAGUGGGAAAAACUCAAAUGUCCGAUUUUGGUAGUUUUCAAUGCUAACACUACACACUCCACACUCCUCCAGUCGGGCAGCACGUGAUGUUGACUCACUCGAGAUUCGCUGGGAACACACAGUGAGUACACUGAAUACACUGAAUAUUCAAUUGUUCACUCACUUCGAUUACGAUUACGCGCAAUUGACAAGCGAGUGUUGGAGCAAUUAUAAAUCAGAAUCUGAUGUUACAUGAAUUGCAAAUUAUUUAACAGCAGAUGCCAUUACACAUUGGAUUCUGUGGUGAUCGAUACAAGUGCUUCCUAAAAUAGAUCCGCCAGCUUUAAUAAUAACUUCUUGAAUAGACAUUACGAUAUAAUUAUAAAUAGGACUAAACUACGUUCUACAGUUGGCAAUUGUAUUGUACAGCAUUUAAUUCAGAAUAAAGGCGAACAUUAAUAUGAAAAUC
rnacentral:sRNA from 1 species